AAGACCAUAAGGCUUUGCCUUGCGAUGAGUUUCUGGUGUCCAUUGUUGAUGUCAGGAACUUCAAACCGAUUGGCGUCUGAAGUUAGCCCAAGCACAGCGAUAUGUGUUCUGUUUCUAGCUGAGGAUUGCCGGUACCCCAAAAUAUUUUAAUU
rnacentral:misc_RNA from 1 species